rnacentral:lncRNA from 10 species
GAGUUUUUCUUCACCCAUGGUCAGGGAGGCGCCAUCGCCCUGGCUUUGGGGCUGGGGCCUCCGGGGAGGUUCCGGUAGGGGCGUUGGAGAGGCCGCUCUUUUUGCAAGGCCCGAGAUGGCGGGCCCUGCGCAGGCCGCCCUAUUCCGCGCCCUCAGGGCGUCAGUAUCCGCCUGAGGCCGGAUACCCACUCUGGGCUCGGAUACCCGCGCUGGGCCCGGAGCAUCCUCGGCGCUGCCCUCCCAGAGCCCCGCAGAGGCUGAGGUGGCGCGGGGGCGGCCCCGGCUCCGCGAGAAGAGGCGGCAGCGAGGGCUGGAGGACCCGGGCUACGGGGCUCCGGGGCGUCUGGCCUGGGUGGGACUGAGCCCAUCCAGGGACUGGGACUCCGGGGUUCUGGUGUAGGUGGAUCCCGGGCAGGCUCAGGACCAAGACCCUCUCCUUCCACCAAGGAGCGCCCAGAGGCCGGCGGGAGCUCCAGGUUCACCUCCUCCUCCUCCAGGAAAUCCCACUUCCAGCUGGAUGUCUGGAUGAACUCCUGAAAGCUGCUGAGUGUCCUGCAGCAGGUGAGCUGUGGCCAGAGCCCAAGGAUGAAGGGGACUCCCUCACUCUGUGACUGUGAAGAGGAAGCCUGAGGUGUAGCAGGCCCAGGCCCCAGAAGUAUGGAAAAAAUGAGGCCAUUUCCAAUCCAGAGGAAGACCUUCUAGAAGAAGUGAUGGGUGGGAGAGUGCUGACAUACUAUGCAAAGCUACUAUUUGGAGUUGGACACGAGUGCAUGUGACCUUGUGCCACAGCGGGAAUGUGAGCUGGAUGACAAAUGGAGAUUUGGACUUGUGAUAAUUGGCCUCUGUGUCAUUGUGUGGAAGACUGACUGGUCCCUUUAUUUCCUGUAGCUUGACUACCACACAAAUUAAUCCACUCAAAUGUUGGCAAGUGGAGCAGAGUCCCAGGACAGGUACAGAAACACCCCCAGUUCAAGGAUCUUCACACCUGGAUUUAGGCCUACACCUGCAACUACCCCAGGUGGAGCCAUCUCAGCCAUGACAACAGAGAAUGUACCACUCUCACGUGAGGAAGAGGGGUAGGCAGUGCUCCUGUAUCACCAGCUGUUAAUGAGACCCUGAGGAAACCACAUCAUGGAGAUCAGCCCUUCUCUCCUGUAAGGAACUCAUCCUAUGAAAGAGCAAUUGGUGGCUGCAAGAGCUGUCUCUGGGACAGCUGUUCAUGUCUAUAUCUGCAGGGUAACCCUCAUAGUCAUAUGCAGUCAUAUCCAUAGUCAUAUCUGGAGUCAGUCUCCAGUUUGACUGAGUGAAUGGAGAAACUAAACAUUUAUUACUGAAUAAUAACAUUAAUAAACCAUCUUAAUGAUAGUAAUAAUAAACAUAUUGAUGAGUAUUAACAGGAAUGAUGAUGAUUAUUAUGAUACUAAUAUCCAUAAUUAAUAAUUUUAAUAUUGAUAAUACUACUAACCCCGUGGACUUGGGACCUAAAGAGCAGUUUCCCCUGACAAUUAUCCCGUAUUUGGCCACAUGGGGUAAUAUUGAGUUCCAGAAGGCAAAGAUUAACAUUCAGAAAAAUAGGAAAAACAACCUGCAGGUAGGCGUGUGCACACAUGGGGACUCUAUGGAUAAAUACUAAAGUGACUCUUGUUCUGGAUCUCCAUGCUAACAAACAUGCACCAGCUUUCAGGAGGUAGGACAGCUGGCUGAUGGGGCAAGGCUUCUUGAAGACAUGGCAGCAGUCAGAAAUCACACAUGCUGCCCAGCAGCAGAGCUCAUGACAAGCAGUAAACCCCAGUGAAAGGACCUGGCUGCCCUUCUGCCAUCUGCUCUCCCAUGGCCUCUCUUGACUGGUACAUCUAGGCACUGGAGUAACCUUCACUGGCUAUAGGAGGGCAUAAUCCUCAGUAUUCUCCCACUUGCAAGAAAGACAAAAAUUACCUGAAUACCAUGGCUUCUGGGUAUCCUUAGUGGGCUUAGCGUAUUUUUCAUUUGCUUUAACAGGCCAGUUAUCCAGGCAGUGACUUUCUGUACAGCUACAGUCACCUCUGGACACCUGCGGAGACUUUAAAAAUUUCCAGAAGGUCAGGAAUUUUUGGAGACCUUUCUUAUGGCUACGUUGCCUGCAAAGGUGAAUCAAUAAGCUUCUGAACUGACUUAGAAAAUGUUGCAGAGACUCUUGUGAACAGAUAGACCCUCUCCUGCCACUCCAGAUAGACGUAUCCGGGUCACACACACCUGAUUUAACAACAUCUCAUUAUCUCAGGUGAGCAACAGACAGCAAUUUAGGACCUAUCCCAGUGUGGAUGAGAGAUAUUGAGUUGGCUUAGAAAAAUGUUAGAUAGACUAGAUGGGGCAAGAAAGCCCAUUCUGGGGCUCAAAAGCCUGCACAUAGAGUUGCUGGCACAUAAAGGGUAUGUAUAAAUUCUUUCUCAGCCCAUGAGAUCAGGAUGAACUUCAUCAGUAUACCAUGCUGGUAUGAAGAGAUUAUUGCCUCCAAAGGGACUCAGAAUAUUUCAGGGAUCCUGUAUUAGUCCAUUUUUACACUGUUGUAAAGACACUACCCCACACUGGGUAAUUUACAAAGGGAAGAUGUUUAAUUAAUUCACAGUUCUGCAUCGCUGGGGAGGCCUCAGGAAACUUACAGUCACGGUGGAAGGCAAGACAGAAGCAGGCACCUUUUUUCACAAGGUGGCAGGAGAGAGAAGUGAGUGCACAGAAAAAAAAACCUCCUACUUUUAAAACCAUCAGAUCUCCUAAGAAUUCACUCACUAUCAUGAGGAUAGCAUGAAGUAAACUUCUUCGACACAUGGCGAUUACAGGUCCCUCUGUCGAUGUGUGGGGAUAAUAAUUUGAGAUGAGGUUUGGGUGGGGACACAGAGCCAAACCAUAUUAUUCUGCUCCUGGCACCUCCCAAAUCUCAUGUCUUUUAUAUAUAUUUCAAAACCAAUCAUGCUUUCCCAACAGUCCCCCAAAGUCUUAACUGAUUCCAGCAUAACUCAAAACUCCAAGUCCAAAGUCUUAUUUGAGACAAGUCCCUUCUGCCUAUCAGCCUAUAAAAUUAAAAAAAAAGUUAGUUACAUCCACAAUGGGGACCUCAUGACCCUGACCAGUGCCCUAUCCUACUGUGGCUCAACUGAUAUCCAAGAUGCAAGACAAAGUCCUUUUUACUCUUUCCUCUAAUCUCCUCUAGCAGAAGGAAGCGGUCUUUUUUGGAGCUGCAAGCUGUGCUGCCUGGGGUUGGGGGAGUGGUAAUGCAAGUACUCCUUUAGCUGUCCUGGCUGGUGUCUCAGUAGGUUUUAUGGCCACUCACCUCAGUACACUGACUCUGAGUACAGUACUAUUGUGUCUGCAGUAGUGUAUGACAUGGAAAAUAAAUCUCCAUUCUCCAAGACUCUUCUUGAGCAUCAAGUCUGCCUGAUUGUUGAGAUAUAGCUACAGACUUUCCUCGCUGAGCCUAGCAUGCACAUGUUCCUCUGCUGGAAAAAAAAAAAAAACCAAACAAGCCACCAAACAACUUCCCACAAGUGGAAUGUUCUGGGACUCAAGGGGAGUCCCUGAAAUUCUGAUUACUGCAUAUGCUGCUGCUGCUUCUCUGGGUCUAGCUACCCAGUGGGGCUGCUGCACACUAGGCUGGUGCUCAAGAAUGUCUGCAAUGGACCCAGUGAUGUAAUCUGUCCUCAAGUCUCACAGCAGUGUGUAUCAGCAGCUGAUCAGAUGGGGAUGGCAGGGGAGUGAUGUAGACUCUGAAAGAUUCCUUGGUUAUAAAUAGUCCUAGUGUGUUGUGUAUUGGAUUUCUCAAAUGCCAGUUGUAGUAGUAAUGAACUCAUCACAUGGACAGACUCAGGGCCUCCUGGUUAGCCAGAGUGAUGCAAGCAAUGGUAACAGAUGUGGUCACUCACAACUUUUCUCCUUCCUGGGUGCUAUGUUAUUCUACCUGCAGAUGCUGUAAAGGACUGUCAGUAGGCCUUCAGCCAGGAGGUGGUGCUUCCAAAAGACUGCCAGCUGUGGUGGUAGUGGUGAGAUUUGGACUUGCCUUAUGUUACCCAUGGGAGGCACUCUGGUGUCUCAGGAAAUAGGUGGAGCCAUAGAGCUUCUAAAAGUUUCUUCUGUUAUUUGUGUUAAUCUACCAGGGUAGGUGGUUGAGCAAAACCAAGUGGGAACUAGGUCAGGUAAGGUGAUGCUCUGGCUCUCUAUGUGUGGGACAAGCAGUGGAUCCAGUGGGAAUUGGAAGGCAGUUCUUGGGCCACUGGAGUAAUUUUCCAGAGAGAAGUGAAGCUGUCUCUGCCUCUGUACAAGGAGAGUCCAUAUGAAGAAUGGGGAGUAGCAGCUUGGUAGUAAGCCCCAUCCAGCUCCCACACACUUGGCAAGGCAGGUCUCACACCCACAGUGUUCCACUGGGAGUAGCUAGCUAAGUUUCAAGAAGUCUGAGCUCAGAACUCAAAACUGACCCAUACCAUAAGCCUCUCCUAUGGAGACAGCAACUGCAACCUUCAGGCCACACCCUUCCUGAUCCACCUACAGAGCAGGGUCCCCCAGCUCCUGUGCUUGCUGCUGCAGCACACUUCCCACUCACCUCUCAGUUCUGGCCUGGGGAGUUUGUCCCCAGUCAAGAUUAUAUCACACAUUUCAGUUGGGAGGUUGUCUCAACCUGUGACCACCAUCUGAGUUAGCUGGCAGACUUCUAGGAGGUCCUGUCUGAGGUAGAAUCAGAAAUGGCUUCCCUCCAUUCUACCAGAAACUGGGAAUGUGCUGGAGAUUCAAAGCACAUCCCAAUGCCACUCCUCAUAUACUCACCACUCUUCCCUAAAUCAGCUCCAGCGCUGAGUAGGGUUAAGGCCUUCCCUCACGGCCUGGAUUGAUAGGUUUCCCAGUGGAAGUGUAUAUCUUAGAGUCAGUUUACCCUCCUGUCACACCCUGGAAACUUACAAUUUUCUGCCUAGCUUAUGGUGUAAGCUGCAUCCUGCUGUUUCUUUCAAAUGGUCUGUGGCUUUUUUCAAUUUUCCUGUUAAAUUCCUGUGUAGCUUCUUGAAAGAAAGUUCACAGUGUGAGUCUCUACACAGCAUUUUGUCUUUCCAAGUGCAAGAGGCAGACUAACAAUGCCUUCAGUCCACCAUCUUGGAAAACAAAAGUAACAGUUUUCUCAUUUUUAAAAGUUUUGUUAAGAUCUGUUAAUGAUUCACAAAGAAAUAGUACUUGGGUAUAUUUGAAAUUAGUAUUUAUUCAUUUAUGUUGAUAAGUGAAAAUGCAAGAUGGUUAUCAAGAUGGAAGUACUUAAUAUGUAUAUUUUAAUAUUCUUAGAUGCAGAUAACUUCACUUUUGAUGUAUUUUUAUUUUGUCUCAGUUUCAUUUCAACUUACGUUUAAGGGGUUCUUGAUAAUCUGACAUGAUAAGUGGUGUUGGAAUUGGCAUUAAAAUCCACCAUGCUCUACAGCACUUCAUCCUUCUUCGGCAGGCACCAAUUUGAUCUUCUACUACUUUGCAGACAUCUCUUCUGCAAACACCAGACAAACUGAGACAAUGAACUUCCGCAGGACCCAAAGCACCUCUUACUGCAGGAAAGAAGAUCCAGUGAGAUAGUUAGUCCACAAAUGGAAUGUCAAUCCAUAAACACACUUAAGUAACAGAAUAAAUUUAGUAUGAGCGUUUUUAUGUGGGAGCUCUUGAAAUGGUUGCUGCUCAUAUGUCAGAGACAUAUGCAGUUUAAGAAAGGUAGCAGUUCCAAUCCUGGUUUGGCCCAACAGUCACUGCAUUUUUGGUGGGGAAAAGGGAUGUGGGAGGAGAUGGUACAUCUUCAUCUUUUUCUCUGGGUUUUCUGUCAGAAAGGGAUGUUGCUUACUCCAGUGGCAAAAAAUGCCAGUGUCUUCUGCCAGAGUGGGUUACUGAGGGCCAUGGUGGUUCCACCUUGUGGCUGAUACAGAUAGUCCCUUUCUGCUUUUGUUUCUAGCCAAAAAAGAUGUUUCUCGCAUCUCAGGUAUGCAGACUUCAGCAGCUGUUUUUUCUAUAUGGCUAUUUUUUUUUUCUUUCACUCUCUCUUUCUCUCUUUUUUUUUUGUUGGCUUCACUGUGUUGCCAUAGUUUCUUAAAUGGUCCCUUGAACCCUCCCAGAGCUAUUUUGGUUUGUACAUAACUAUCUAUAUAUUUUUUUCUUGGGGGGAGUGUGUAGAGCUAAAGGCUGGUAUAUCCUGCUCCUGCUCCCCGAAAGUGACGUUAUUCCCCCAAGCUAAUAUUUCAGGCUUUCAAUUUAUUCAUGCUUUCAUCUGUUUAAACAUAAGUAGAAAUUACUUUUUCUCUCCACAUUUAGAUUUGAUCUAUCUACUUUAAUUGCUAAUAGUGUCUUAGUCAUAGAAUAGAUUAGUUAGAAAAAAGUGUUUUUGACAUUAUAAAUGAUUCUUUCAAUUUGUGUCUAAAAGUGGAAAAUACUAGAAAGCUUAACAUUUAUUAUUGUAUUCAGACCAGUAUUUCCUCCAGAUGACCUUUAUUACAACAAAGAUAAUUUAAUGAAGAUCUCUCUAAUGGUAAAGCUGAUGGCUUUGUGCUAUUACAAUAUCCUUCAAAUAAAGUGACGAUCUGGUGGAAAGAACAACUAAAGCAAGGAUUAGGAAGAAAACAGUUAAUACCUUCAUUUUGGUCUCACUCUGCAUUAAGAGUUUUCAUUGUGUUAAGGAUUUAUUAUACAUUAAGUAAUUUAAUGUUCAUUUAAUAAUAAAUGGAUCCUAUUAAAUAUGAUUUUUAAAAUUAUAAUCACAUUACUUUUAUUCACAUCUGUCUACUGAUGCCAUUCCUAGAUGAGAAUGAUAUAACAUUAUUUUUUUUUUCAUUUUGCCACAUCUUUACUUACUUAGGUUUAUGCUGUAUCAAACAAUGUAUGUGUGGGAGUAAUGAUGAUUCAGGAAUGCAUGAGGAGGAGGUUUAAGCUCUUUAACCUUGAACAAUUAAAAUUAGCAACAUAAUAUUGAAAUACAUACAUAACACUCAAAUGGUACUUUCAAAAUAGUGUAUAUUUCCUCUGUUUAUUUGUAGCUUUUAAACCCAGCUAGAAGCAUUCUAUUUCCUUUAGGCACCAUAAGUCUGAAAGUCUGUAGUGAAAACUACAAGUAGUAAAUGAUACUAAUUCAUGUGCUCCCACCUGUGGAAGAAUUGAAUGUCUUAGAUAAAAAAAGAUGGUGCAAUUGGUGUACAAAGUAUCUAGAAUACAAUUUGGUGGUGGUUUUUCUGUUUCCAUAGCAGAGUAACAUAUAUAAUAUUCCCCUUUCAUCAAGUUAUUUAAAUAUGCCUUUGAACGGGGAGAAUUGAAAAUAAUACUGUGAAUCCUGGUAAACAUUUUAAAAUAAUGAGAAGAAUAUUGCCUUUAAAAAGUCAAAAUUUGUCUGAUUACAACCCAUAUAGCAAUUUCAUAGCAAAACACUUCCUUCAAUCCUAUUAAAAUCAGAAGGAAAAGAAGAAUACCCACUGUCAAUGUUAUAUUAAUAUAGUUCUAAAAGUUUUGGACAAUGAAAUAUGUUGUAAGAAGAGAAGUCAGGGGAGACUUGAGCCCAUUGUUUUCCCUCUCCUUCUAUACCUCCCAAAAUACCACUGGAAUGUUGUAACAUUUUGAAGAAUCUAUAGCAGUGUCCCAAAUCAUAGAACAGUAUGAAUACAUCUGAAUCUGAGAUAUCUCCGAAAGGUACAAUAUAUGUGUGAUUAGAAUGAAAGAAAGAUUUAGGCUUUUGGCCAUGACUGCAAGUUAGCUGGUCUCAAAUGACUGCUGCUAUUGAACAAAUACAUUUUAGAGGAUCUCUUUGAAACAUUUCUAUUCUUGAAAACGGUUAGGCAAGUUUUUAAAAUAUCUCCUUUUUCAAACACAAAAAUAGUCUGUGAACUGGAGCUUGAGCACUGGGCACUUUGUAUUGGCUAGCUGAUGGAGGGGUGUGAGGGUUUCCCAGAUCUUCUGGGAAGAUCUGCUAUUAUCAGCAAUGCUAAUGGUGGUACUACUGACUCUUGGGCCAUCAGAAAUUCCAGUUCGUUAAUCCUGGAACUUCUAUAUUGAGAUAAAGCAUUGAGUCAGUUUCACAGAGGAAGUUUGGAUAAUAGCAUUCUCAUUUCAGACCAUAGAAUGAUGGCAGAUUAAGGAUGAGCAAUGAGUUCAGUAUUAAAAAUGAUCAGGUAAGCAAGACACCAUGAAUAAAAGUUAAUGAAAUGAAUAGCACAUUUAAAUCUUUGAAAACUAAAUGUAUUGAAAUUGUCAAUGUGGAGAAAUAAUUAAGCAGCUGUGUAUCGAUUGUUUAAAGAAACAAUCUACUAUUACAAAGAUGUAAAAACAAUAGUAAAACAAUAUAGAUGAUAGAAAAAAUGGGCAGGUCUCACUGGGCGUCGUGGCUCAUGCCUGUAAUCGCAGUACUUUGGGAGGCCGAAGCGGGCGGGUCAUGAGGUCAGGAGUUCAAGAACAGCAUGCCCAAGAUGGUGAAAACUUGUCUCUACUAAAAAAAAAGUGUAUAUAUGUAUAAAUUAGCUGAACAUGGUAAUGUGCACCUGUAGUCCCAGCUACUCAGGAGGCUGAGGCAGGAGAAUCACUUGAACCCGGGAGGUGGGGGUUGCAGUGAGCCAGGAUUGCACCACUGCAUUCCAGCCUGGGCAACAGAGUGAGACUC